GAUGAACGCUGGCGGCGUGCCUAAUACAUGCAAGUCGAGCGAACAGACGAGGAGCUUGCUCCUGUGACGUUAGCGGCGGACUUGUGAGUAAAACGUGGAGAACCGACCUAUAAGACUGGGAUAACUUCGGGAAACCGGAUCGAAUACCGGAGAAUAUAUUGAACAACGUAGUUCAUUAGUGAAAUACGGUUUUGCUGUCACUUAUAGAUUUAUCCAAGCCGCAUUAUCUAGUUGGUAAGGUAACGGCUUAACAAGGCGACGAUGCGUAGCCGACCAGAGAGGGUGAACUGCCACACUGGAACGGAGACACGGUCAAGACUCCUACGGGAGGCAGCAGUAGGGCAUCUUCCGCAAUGGGCGAAAGCCUGACGGAGCAACGCCGCGUGAGUGAUGAAGGUAUGCGGAUCGUAAAACUCUGUUAUUCGGGAAGAACAAAUGUGUAAGUAACUAUGCACGUCUUGACGGUACCUAAUCAGAAAGCCACGGCUAACUACGUG
rnacentral:rRNA from 1 species